rnacentral:lncRNA from 10 species
GGCUCUUUUCCAAGAAGUGGAUUUUCAUUCAAAGUUUUUUAUCCUUCUAAUAAGACAGUAGAAGAUAGGCAUCCUAACAUGUGAUUUCUCAGAUAACUGUAUUUUGAAAAAGUUCCCACCACUGGUUAAGAACAAGUGCCCAGGCAGGGCACGGUGGCUCAUGCCUGUAAUCCCAGGACUUUGGGAGGCCGAGCAAACUUCAAGGCUUUUGAGAUUCUUAAAGAUCAUCUGAAGAAAAUUCAUCAGUUUUCUGCUUAACUCUAUAUCUUAUGUGAUUCUGAUAUUACAAUAAAAUUAUGG